rnacentral:rRNA from 13 species
AAUACCGUGGGAAGUGAAACAUCUAAGUACCGCGAGGAAGAGACAUCAAACGAGAUACCGGUUGUAGUGGCGAGCGAAGCCGGAUAAGGCUCCCCAUGCACCAAUACUCUUUACACUUGCCCAAGCCGGUGAAAUACCAGCCCUGGAGAGGUUAUAGGCCUGUAGGAAGAAAGGAGUGUUGCACCAUGGGUCAGGACCUGUAUACCACUAUUGCAGUGUGAAGGGUUCAGAAUAGUUACACAUUAAAAUGUUGCGAAGAUAGGUGGACCACCAUCUAAGCCUACUCACAAGAAUGACCCGACAGCGUACUAGUACCGUGAGGGAAAGGUGAAAAGAUCCUUUCAUAGAGGAUUUGAAAUAUACGUGAAAUUGAAGUGCUAUGAAUCGGUCCGUUAUGGAAGGGGUAGGAAGUGUUGGGGGCUUUGGGGCUGGGGUUCUAUCUUAGUACACCAUUGUUUGAGGGAUGUGCCACUUUAGGUGUACUCCUCUCUUUUCCAUCAUUACUCCCCUCUUCUAGGCAUAAGGGCGUACCUUUUGCAUAAUGGGCCAGCGAGUUGACUCUUGCAGCACACCUAAGCGGAUGCGUGAAGGUCUAGAUAACUCGAGUGCGAAUGGCGCGAUUGAGUUGCAAGAGGCAGACCCGAAACCGGGCGAUCUUGGCCUGGGCAAGCUGAACCUACUGUAACAGGUAGCUAAGGGCUGCACCCGUUGCUUUGCAAAAGCAUGGGAUGACCUGGGCCAAGGAGUGAAAGGCUAAUCAAGCUCGGAGAUAGCUGGUUCUCCGCGAAAAGUAUUGAGGUACUGCCUGUAGAGUUGCAUUGUUUUGUGUAAAGCUCUGGUGGGAUUCGGGCGGUCCAAAGCCGUACCACCUCCUGCUAACCUUAGAAUCGAUACCAAUGAUAGCCUAUGGAGACAGACAAUCCGUGCUAAGGUGGAUUGUCAAAAGGGAAACAGCCCAGAUUGGCCGGUAAGGCCCCUAAACCCGCGGUAAGUGUAAAAGGUAGUGUGUUUCUUGACAGCCAGGUGGUGGGCUUGGAAGCAGCCAUCCAUUGAAGACCGCGUACUAGCGCACUGGCCGAGGAAAUGUGCGCUGACAAUGUAUCGGGGCUCAACCGCGGUGCCGAACCGACAAAUUGUAUAUUAUUGAUCUGCAUAAGUACUACACUGCAUAAACAAACCGCUUCGACUCACUAGCCGCGACUCGCCAGACUUCUUUAGUCUAUUUGAGCAUUGGUAUACGAGCAUUAGCAUAUUGGAAAUGUAGUGAACGAAAGUGUAGUGGGUGGUAUAGACUGGUAGCGGAGCGUCCCGUAGUACAGUAUAAAGAGACUAUUUGGAAAAAGGCUUUUCAAGAAUCGGGAGUGAGAAUGCUGGCAUAAGUAGCGAUAUGGCGUGGUGAGAAUCCCGCCCGCUGGAUGUUCAGGGGUACCGCUGUAAAGAUGAUCUGCGGCGGGCGAUCCGGUUCCUAACAUGUAUUUGAGAAUGGAUGCAUGGAUGGAUUCAGCACACAAUGACGAAGGUUGACUGGCCACUGAGCCGUGUAGGAGGUGGAAAGCGUUAAUCUAUACACCGGGCAAGGGUUUUACUGCCUAAGAACGGGGUAUGGGGGCGUUACUGCUUUCGAUAGGACAAGUCAGUGACUCAUUUACCGUCGUAUGAAAAUUGGACGGAUGUGGGGCGAAGCUUCCAGGAAAUAUUU